rnacentral:rRNA from 1 species
GCGGACAGAUGGGAGCUUGCUCCCUGAUGUUAGCGGCGGACGGGUGAGUAACACGUGGGUAACCUGCCUGUAAGACUGGGAUAACUCCGGGAAACCGGGGCUAAUACCGGAUGGUUGUUUGAACCGCAUGGUUCAGACAUAAAAGGUGGCUUCGGCUACCACUUACAGAUGGACCCGCGGCGCAUUAGCUAGUUGGUGAGGUAACGGCUCACCAAGGCGACGAUGCGUAGCCGACCUGAGAGGGUGAUCGGCCACACUGGGACUGAGACACGGCCCACACUCCUACGGGAGGCAGCAGUAGGGAAUCUUCCGCAAUGGACGAAAGUCUGACGGAACAACGCCGCGGGAGUGAUGAAGGUUUUGGGAUCAUA